rnacentral:lncRNA from 1 species
AUGUCACUCCCCUACCAGACCUGUCUCGGCAGCUGUCACGCUGAGGAGCACUCUGACGUCCAGCCCCAGCUGCUCUUGCCCGGCUGCACCAGGUGCUCCGGGCCGCCUCCUUCUGCACCCUCGCCUGCCCUGUGGGGACCUGACACCUCCACUCAGGCUACACCUCAGUGCACCAGGCCGAACUCUGAGCCAAGGCCCUGGAGGGAGACAGCACAUCCUCGCUCAGCUCACUGCAGCACUGUGCAGACGCCUGCAGCACGGGUCCUUCACCCGUCCAUUCUGUCAGAAUUUUUCAAGCAUCUGCCAUAUGUGAGAAGAUGCUGGGGAGUGUUCUGGGAAUGUGUGGUGAACAAGACACGAAGCCCUGACUUCCGUGGCACUUCCAUUCUUACAAGCCCAUCCAGAGGAGUUUUAAGUUUACAGCGGAAUGGAGUGGAAACUACAAAGUGAUCCUGUGAAGGCCGCCGCCUCCCGCAAGUCCCAGGGCCCUCAUCACCAACGUCCGCACCAGAGCAGCCCGAUUGUCAUCGCCGUGGACCUGCACGGACACAUGGGGGCCACAGGCGGCCUCGAGGUGCGCAGUGAUCCACUCGCUCUACGGCUUUGGAUGAUCACCCAGCACGAUAGCAUCGAACUGCCGUAAAGAUCCUCCUGUCGUGCUUAGCCUGAGACAAAGUGGCUGUGUGGCUGGGCAUCGCCACCAACGCUGGAAGCUGUGCAGCUCCCGCACACCCUGCAAACACUGGAGACGGUCAGUCUUAUUCCUCUCAGGCACUCUCAAUUGUGAUGUGGAUCAAAGCUCGUGUUUUUGCACAUUGGUAUGCAGCCAUUCCAGCACAUUUUGUUGAAAGGGUGCUCUUUCUCCACUGGCUUGCCUUGGCACUUGGUAAAAGGAUAGUUCUUGAUCUAUGUGUGGAUGGUCUAUGUCUCAUUUCUCCAUUCUGUUUUAUGUGUAUGUGCGUGCUGGGGUGGAACCCAGGUCCUUGUGCCGGGCAAGCAUGUGCUCUGCCGCUGGGCCACACCCAGCCAUGGUUAUGUUUCCGUGUUCUACCCCAUUAAUCUAUUUGUUUUGUUUAUGGCAAGCUGCAUUGUUUUGAUUCCUGUAGUCUUUUUUUUCUCUUCUUCUGACACAGUCUCGCUAUGUAGUCCAGGCUGGGUUUGAACUCACCAUGUAGCCCAGGCUGGCCUCAUACCUGUGGCAGGUGCUGGGAUCACAGGUAUGCGCCACCACACACAGCCCUGUGGGCUUUGAGUCUGGGGUCAGGCAGUAUGAGCCUUCCAGUUCUGUGCAGAGCUGUUUGGUUUGCUCUGAGUUCUUUACAUUUUCCUGUAAAGUUUAAAAUCAGCUGAUCAAUCUCUGUAGACUCACUCACUGGAACUGCAGUUCUAUAGAACAAUUGGGAAAAACAUCUUACAAUACUGAGUUUCCUGAUCCCCGGACAACGCUCAUUUUUCUCCUCAUUUAGGUAUUUUUAAUUACUUUCAGCUAUGUUUUGUAGUUUUCAGUUUUUUCACAUCUUUUGUCAGAUUUACCCCUAUUGUUUAAUAUUUCUUUCUUUUCUUUUCUUUUUUUUUGGGGGGGGUACCGGGGAUUGAACUUGGGACCUUGCACUUGAGAGGCAGGUGCCGGAACCACUGAGCUAAAUCCCCAGCCCUGAUUAAUAUUUCUUAUUGGUAUUGUAAUUAUGUUGUUUUUAAAAAUUUUUAUUUUAUCUCUUUAUUUUUGGUGUGUUUUUGAAACUGAGUCUCGCUAUAUAACCCAAGCUGGCCUCAGACUCACACCAAUCCUCCUGCCUCGGCCUCCUAAGUGCUGGGAUUACAGGCAUGUGCCACCACUCUUGGCUUGCUGUUUUAAAUUUUAAUUUCUGAUUUUUUUGUUGUCAGUGCAUCGAAGUACAACUAACUUGCUGCUUUUAUCUUAUAGCUUACAAACUUUCUAAACUAAUAUAUUGUUCUUUUGAAGAGCCCAUUGUAUUUUCUAUUUAAAUGAUCGGAUCAUCUGUGGAUCAAAUGCUUUUAUGUUUUCCUGUGGAAUAUGGACGCCUUUUAGGGCUUUUUCUUGACUGACUGCACUGGCUAGAAUCUCUAAUACAAUACUGAACAGAGGUAAAGAGUGGGGACACCCUUGCCCUGUUUCUGAUCAUGGGGGGAAGUAUGAUAUUAGCUCUAAGUCUCCCAGAUAGCCUCUAUCAGGUUGAGGAAGUUCUGUUGUUCCCAGUUUGUUAAUGUCUUGUCUUUUUUAUCAGGGGAAAGUGUUUGCUCUUGUCAACUGUUUUUUCAGCAUUUAUGGAGAUGUUCACAGGGGUUUUCUUUUCUGCUUGUUAGCAUGAUGACUUAGAUUGGUUGUGUAAUUUUUAAAUGUGAAACCGCUCGUACAUUCCUGGGACAAAUCCUCCUUGGUCAGAAUGUGUUAUCAUUUUAAUAAUUUUUGUACUCAUUUUGCUAAAAUUCUGUUUAGACUUCUGCAUCUGUACAUUGGUCUGUAGUUUCCUUUCUUACAGUGUUUCUGGUUUUGGUAUCAGAUCAGUGCUGGCUUAGAGAGUGCAUUGCCAAGUUUUGAUCCCUCUUUAGUUUUCUGUGAACAUCUGAUAUUAUUUUUCCUUGAAUAUUUGGUAGACCUCACCAGGAAAGCUAUCUGAGAUAGAGUUCUUUCUGUGGGCGGUUUUAAACCAAAAAUUUUGUGUUUUAAAUAGAUAUAAUUUAUUUGGGCUGUUUCUUUUUGAAUGACCUUUGGUAAUUUGUAUCUUUCAAAAAAUUGUUGGGCCAGGGAUUUAGGUCAGUGGUUUCACCGCCUGCUGCUCAGGUGCAAGGACCUGAGUUCAAUCCCCGGUUCCAAAAAAAAAAAAAAAAUUGUUCACUUUAUGUAAGUUGUCAAAUAUACAAGCAUGAACCUAUUGAUGGCAUUCUCCUUUAUUUCCUUUUUUCUUUUUUGGUACAGGGGAUGGAGCUCGGGACCUUGUGCUUUUGAGGCAGGUGGCAGAACCACUGAGCUAAAUCUCUGGCCCCUUUCCUUUAUUUUCUUAAUAACCUUGCAGUCUGUAGUGAUGUCAUCUCUUUCAUUCCUGAUAAUGAUAUUUUGUAUCUUCUGUCCCUCCCUUUUUCCUCAUUAGUCUGAUUAAGUAUUGUUAAUUUCAUUCAUAUUCUUAACACUUUUUUGGUUUUAUGGAUUUCCUGUAUUUUUUUCUGUUUUUAAAAAUGUCACUGAUUUCCUCUUUGAUCUUUAUUAUUUCCUAUAUUCUGCUUGCUUGGGUUUGCUCUCCUUUUCCUAGUUUUCAGGGUGAAAGCUGAAGGCGUUAACGGAAGAUCUUUCUUCUUCUAACACAGGGAGCUGGCGCUGUACCUGCACCCCAUCUGCCCUGGUGGACCAGAAUCCCAUAACCUCGGAUAUGUAAUUUUCAUUUUUCAUUAAGUUGAAAUAAAUGCACUAGUUAAAAUAAGUUAAUUACUUUCAGACAUCUUGUCUUAGUGACUUUCUCAUGUUUGAGACACGAUACCAGAUACCCACAGCUAAAAGAGGAGAGGUUUACUUUGGCUCAUGUUCCAGUCUGUAGCUGGCUGACUCCA